rnacentral:rRNA from 1 species
ACCAGACUCCUACGGGAGGCAGCAGUGGGGAAUAUUGGGCAAUGGGCGCAAGCCUGACCCAGCAACGCCGCGUGAAGGAAGAAGGCUUUCGGGUUGUAAACUUCUUUUGUCAGGGACGAAGCAAGUGACGGUACCUGACGAAUAAGCCACGGCUAACUACGUGCCAGCAGCCGCGGUAAUACGUAUGGAGCAAGCGUUAUCCGGAUUUACUGGGCGUAAAGGGAGCGUAGGCGGCCUGCCAAGUCUGAUGUGAAAUACCGGGGCUCAACCCCGGGGCUGCAUUGGAAACUGGCAGGCUGGAGUGCCGGAGAGGCAGGCGGAAUUCCUAGUGUAGCGGUGAAAUGCGUAGAUAUAAGGAAGAACACCAGUGGCGAGGGCGGAUUACUGGACGAUAACUGACGGUGAGGCGCGAAAGCGUGGGGAGCAAACAGGAUUAGAUACCCGUGUAC